rnacentral:rRNA from 1 species
AGCUCGUAGUUGAAUUUCGGGCCUGGCUGGGCGGUCUGCCUAACGGCACGUACUGUCUGGGCGGGCCUUACCUCUUGGUGAGCCGGCGUGCCCUUCGUUGGUGUGCGUCGGGGAACCAGGACCUUUACCUUGAGAAAAUUAGAGUGUUCAAAGCAGGCCUAUGCCCGAAUACAUUAGCAUGGAAUAAUAAAAUAGGACGCGCGGUUCUAUUUGUGUCA